rnacentral:rRNA from 1 species
UACGAAGGUCCCAAGCGUUGCUCGGAAUCAUUGGGCGUAAAGCGGGUGCAGGUGGCUUUGUAAGUCAGGAGUGAAAGCCCAGGGCUCAACCCUGGAAGUGCUUUUGAUACUGCGAAGCUUGAGUGUGAGAGAGGAUGCUGGAAUUGCUGGUGUAGUGGUGAAAUACGUAGAGAUCAGCAGGAACCCCAGUGGCGAAGGCGGGCAUCUGGCUCAACACUGACACUUAGGCCCGAAAGCGUGGGGAUCAAACAGG